GACGAACGCUGGCGGCGUGCUUAACACAUGCAAGUCGAACGAUGAAGCCGGAGCUUGCUCUGGUGAAUUAGUGGCGAACGGGUGAGUAACACGUGAGUAACCUGCCCUUGACUCUGGGAUAACUGCGGGAAACUGUAGCUAAUACCGGCUACGACCCUCGGAGGCAUCUCCUGGGGGUGGAAAGAAUUUCGGGCAAGGAGGGACGCGCGGCCUAUCAGCCAGUUGGUGAGGUAAAGGCUCACCAAGGCGACGACGGGUAGCCGGCCUGAGAGGGUGACCGGCCACACUGGGACUGAGACACGGCCCAGACUCCUACGGGAGGCAGCAGUGGGGAAUAUUGCACAAUGGGCGCAAGCCUGAUGCAGCAACGCCGCGUGAGGGAUGACGGCCUUCGGGUUGUUAACCUCUUUUAGCAGGGAAGAAGCGAAAGUGACGGUACCUGCAGAAAAAGCACCGGCUAACUACGUGCCAGCAGCCGCAGUAA
rnacentral:rRNA from 1 species